AGCAGAUUGCGCUUCCCCUUUUCAACGCCAAAUGAGUUUUUCCAACUUGUUGACUGACAGCGGCGGAGAAAAGGAGCGUCUGCCCAGGAGAUAGAGAAGCGCAGACGGGAACAAUAAUUGAGGACUCGGAGUUUCCAAACUCCAGGUCCAGAGACGAGAUGGGGUCCGCUACGUCAUUUUGUGGCUGAAGGAAAACAUGUCUUCAUAAAAUCUGGACUUUCUUUCUGGAGUAAUGGUGCUGACCGUCGAUUUCGCCAUGCCUUACUUCUUCGAUGGCUCAGAAACACACACACCAAAAUCGUAUUCGGCUAUCAAAUCCUUCUUGAAGUCGACAGUUUUACUCACCACUUUCCUUUUUUCAGCACCGGCAGUUCCAUUUGCCUUCUUUGGAGCCAUGAUUGGGGGUUAAUAUUGCUCAAUUGGAAGAAGUCACUACCGGGACAUGUCUGCAUACAGAGGAGUGUGUGGGUCAACUGGUUGCGUCGCCCGCGUUACGUCAUUUCCAUUUUUUUUCGGGGGUGCGUUCGAAAGCACAAAUCGUCGUGGGUCACCUGGUCAGGGCGUUCGAAUACCAAUUUUCGUUUGGAAACCAAAGGGAAAAAAAAAAAAAAAAAUCCCAAAAUUUUCAUUCAAAAACUGAUUUGUUCGAAAAC